AUCGCUUUCUCGGCCUUUUGGCUAAGAUCAAGUGUAGUAUCUAGUUCUGUUCUUAUCAGUUUAAUAUCUGAUACGUCCCUCUAUACGGGGACAACAUAUUAAACGGAUUUUUGGCAGCAGGGCCGAACAAGGGGCUUGCCCCAUUCGCUCCACGCAUCGACCCGGUAUUGCAGCGCCGCCGGGAACGGUGCACCCUUC